ACGCCGUAAACGAUGAGUGCUAGGUGUUAGACCCUUUCCGGGGUUUAGUGCCGCAGCUAACGCAUUAAGCACUCCGCCUGGGGAGUACGACCGCAAGGUUGAAACUCAAAGGAAUUGACGGGGGCCCGCACAAGCGGUGGAGCAUGUGGUUUAAUUNGAAGCAACGCGAAGAACCUUACCAGGUCUUGGCAUCCCUCUGACCGCUCUAGAGAUAGAGUUUUCCUUCGGGACAGAGGUGACAGGUGGUGCAUGGUUGUCGUCAGCUCGUGUCGUGAGAUGUUGGGUUAAGUCCCGCAACGAGCGCAACCCCUAUUGUUAGUUGCCAUCAUUCAGUUGGGCACUCUAGCGAGACUGCCGGUAAUAAACCGGAGGAAGGUGGGGAUGACGUCAAAUCAUCAUGCCCCUUAUGACCUGGGCUACACACGUGCUACAAUGGCUGGUACAACGAGUCGCAAGCCGGUGACGGCAAGCUAAUCUCUUAAAGCCAGUCUCAGUUCGGAUUGUAGGCUGCAACU
rnacentral:rRNA from 1 species